GAAGUCCGCCAGGCAGCCGCUGUGUACCUCGUGUGCAUGGAGGAAAGUCCGGGCCCCAUAGAGCAGGAUGCCGGCUAACGGCCGGGCGUCGUGAGGCGAUGGAAAGUGGCACAGAAAACAAACCGCCUAAGUCCGCAAGGACCGGCAAGGGUGAAAAGGUGAGGUAAGAGCUCACCGCAGUCCGUGGCAACACGGCUGGCACGCUAAACCCCAUCCGGGGCAAGGCCAAAUAGGGAAGCGAUGGCGCUGCUCGCGCCGCUUCCGGGUAGGCUGCUAGAGCGGCGCGGUAACGCGCCGCCCAGAGGAAUGGCUGCCGGGCAGCUUCGGCUGUCUUACAGAACCCGGCUUAUCGGCGGACUUCCAAU
rnacentral:RNase_P_RNA from 1 species